CAAGAGGCUCUAUUGUAUCUUUUGUACAUUAGAAUAAGGUAGAAAGUGAGGGAAAGCUCUGGAGGGGUGCCCGGAAGGUUUGGCGCUCUCUCCGACUUCUUUCUCGACGAGUGUAGCUUCCUAGGAGGAAUUCUGGAGGAGUACCGGAGCUGUCGGUACACUCUGCUCCGGGUUCGGAGAACCUUCUUCUAUUAGAAAAAGAAGCUAGCUGCUAGAAAGAAACCUGCACCACCUCCAUCGGUAACAUACCUUUACAAAUUAGUAAAAUUUGCCACAGGACACGUAAAAAUUGUGGUCUUUUCUGUGGGACACUCGAAGAUUGUGUAUUUGCUCGUGGACACCGUAAAAAUGUGGUAAUUAGCUG